GCCUCUCUAGCUCAGAGGGAGAGAUUUUGCUCUGCAUGCAGAAGGUCCUAGGUUCAAUCCCUGGUAUCUCCA